rnacentral:rRNA from 1 species
UACGGAGGGUGCAAGCGUUAAUCGGAAUUACUGGGCGUAAAGCGCGCGCAGGCGGACCGUCAAGUCAGAUGUGAAAUCUCGGGGCUCAACCUCGGAACUGCGUUUGAAACUGCGAGUCUAGAGUCUCGGAGGGGAGAGGGGAAUUUCACGUGUAGGGGUGAAAUGCGUAGAGAUGUGGAGGAACACCGGUGGCGAAGGCGGCUCCCUGGACGAAGAUUGACGCUGAGGUGCGAAAGCGUGGGGAGCAAACAGG